UUACAAGAUUAUGCAAGACUGCUGGCGAGAAGAUCCUGAUGAUCGCCCAACGUUUGAGAAUCUUAGAGAUGAAUUGAAGGAAAUGGAGAACCAGCACCAGAGGUUCAUCAACUUAAAAGAUUAUGACAAGAAACUCUACGAGAAUGUGGAAGAUUUGAUGUUCUAGAUCAUAGAGAUAUGCAUCGUGUUAUCGUUUGCAUAUCUUGACAGCAAAAGGGUACGAUGCAGGAUUGAUGUUUUAGAUAGUGCUAGUUACAUGUAGCCAGUAAGUAGUUAUGCAGAAGAUGCAAGAUAUUUAAACGUAUUUUUCUAAACUUUGUUAGAAUAAGAAACAAUAAACAAAAUUAGAACGAGCAUUCUUUCCUCUUCUAUACCAUCAAAGGGGAGGUAAAGUUUGAUAUUUGAGUAUUUUAGCUGUAUGCUUGCUUCAAGAAGCACGCGAAUUAGAUUUGUAUCCUUUUUUGAAGCGGGCGUAUAUCGAUAGACUUUGUGGGAACAACAAAAUCAGCAACCAUGCAGAAAUGCCUUCUCAGCGUUACAUAUAUAUAUAUAUAGAAAAGGAUGAAUUCCUCGAUCAAAGCUUACAUAUCAGUACAUGUAUUACCAGUAAAAUGACUGGAGUUUCGCUUAAAUAAUGGCAAAUGCUCUCAUUAAUCCAAUAUAAUUACAUUACUUUUAAGGUUCGAAAGUUCUACGGAUUGUAUCUCCCGUUUGAUAAAACUGAGUAGAUAGUUUCGAUUGUAAUGUUUGCUGUUUGUUUUCUUUUUCUUAAGGCAGAACACUUUUGCCGUUUUGACUGCAACAUUGCAAAAAAGUCUGACUUCUUAGUGUGCUCAAACGGUCUAAUCUGUCUGCUAACUUGAUCUGUCUGUAGUGUUCUUAGUCGUAUCUGUAGGUUCUAGACUCGCAAUUUUGACGUGGUCGUAAAAGUACCGCACUUCGCUCAAGCAUCGGUGUUCUAACCAUUCUCAGAAGAAAUAUUUAUUUCUUUGGUGGUUGUUCGUGUCAGUUUAGGUCAUGGUGCAUUAGGUUUUUGUUAAACCUGCUUAUCUAGAAUGCAGUCCGUUAAGUUUAUAAGAUUUCUCAGUUUUUAUAAACAUUUGUAAAGCCUAUUUAGGCCCAUGUCUUUUUUAGCUUGAUAUAUCGAAGCAGCUAUCCCAAAGCUAUCUUGGCAAAGGUUAGGCUUUUAUUUAACUCCCUGGUUUAGAAUCCAGGGGUUUAGUAUACAGCAAGGAUGUACAUGUAAGACGAAAUUUUGAAUAAACCUAAUGGUUUGAACCCAAGAGUA